AAUUUAUGAAGUCAUAAAAGGAUUAAAAUUGCAGUACACUAAAACCCUUCGGUUCCUAAAAUCUAUAGAUCUUUCUGGGAAUCGUAUUGUUGGAAAGAUCCCAGUUGAGAUAAUGAGUUUGCAUGCAUUGGAGAACUUGAAUGUUUCUGGAAAUAAUCUAAGUGGAACAAUCCCUGAGGCUAUUGGCAAUUUGAGCAAAAUUGAAUCACUUGAUUUAUCUAGAAAUGAACUCUAUGGUCCCAUUCCACCAAGCUUGUCAUCUUUGCAUUUUUUGAGUCACUUGAACUUAUCAUUCAACGAUUUACAUGGGAGAAUACCAACAGGAAGCCAACUUCAAACCCUCAAUGAUCCAUCCAUUUACAUGGGCAACGAAGGACUUUGUGGUGGCCCUCUUCUAAAGGGUUGCCCUAGUGAUGUACCAUCUUUUGUUAAUCAAUCUACAAAAACCAGUAGUGAUGAUGAUGACCAUGAGUUUUUCAUGUGGUUCUAUGCUGGUUUGGGGCCUGGUUUCUUUGUUGGAUUCAUUGGAGUAUUAAGCAUUCUACUGUUUGCAAGAUCUUGGAGCUAUGCGUACUUCAAAGUUUUAGAGACGGCUUACAACAAAAUACUCAAUUGUUUUUAUUAAAGGUCAAUGCUAGUGAAUGAGCAAUUGUCAUGGAUCUUCAAUGUGGAUUACUCUUGACAUGUUGGAAGGGAGUUUCUUCCUAACUUGAAAGGCAAAAGAGUAUUGUUGAUUUUGAUAUAAUUUGCAAUUGAUGUUCAUCUUAUUUAUUAUUGGUUUUUCAAUGUCAUGUUUAUUGUAUUUGUCAUAUUUAAAAUUUGUAAACAAAUUCUUAUUGAGAUGUGUGUUUAAUAUCAUAUUAUGUUUCUAUUAUUACA